rnacentral:tRNA from 1 species
AAUUAAUAAGCUAAUAAGCAAGUGUUUUGAAAGCACUAAAUUAGAAGUUUAAAUCUUCUAUUAAUUU